GAGGAAGGAGAAUUGCUUGAACCCAGGGGGCGGAGGUUGCAGUGAGCCGGAGUUGUGCCACUGCACUCCAGCCUGGGUGACAGAGCAAGACUCCAUCUCAAAAAAAGGAUGGGGCAUUGGAAGGUGAUUAGGUCAUGAGGACGUCAUCAUCCUGAAUGGGAUUCGUGCUUUUGUAAGAGAGGCCAGAGGGAGACUGUUUGCCCCUUCCACCAUGUGAGGGUGCAGCAAGAAGCCACCAGCUACAUGGAAGAGGCCCUCCCCAGUGCCAGAUCUGCUGCACCUUGAUCACCAUUGUAUUGCCACACAUAUAAAAGUGUCAUAAUUGUGAUUCCAUACUGUGACAUUUAGAAUCCCUGGCAGAGAAUGCCUUCUUCCAAUCAGCAGAAUUGGCGGUAAUUACUCCCUCGUGACACCUCCUCACCUUCACCUCUCUUGCUAAUCCUGGACAUACUUUAUCAACAUUGCCUGCCCCUGUUAUCUUUCAGAUGUCUCAUCAUGAAGUCAGCUAGCUAUUACGGGGUAUAGCACAUUCCUGAAUGUUCUCUGGGGCUCUCGAAGGGAACUUAGAUAGUAAAGCCUUAAAACAGCACUCGGGACUUAACAAAAAUUGCCUUGUCUUGUCCCCACCUCAGUAAGUAAUGUCAGGGCCAUCUAUGACCACCAUUCCCAUCUUACAGGUGAAGAAAUUGGGGACAUGGAAGGUGACGAUGUGCUGAACUGUAGAGAGUGAGUCAGAGGUCAGGAAAAAUGUG
rnacentral:lncRNA from 13 species